rnacentral:lncRNA from 1 species
GCACCCCCAAACUCCUGCUCAGCCCGAGUCAAGCACCGAAAGCUUCACAGGUUUUUUUCCUGAGCCUUGAAGAGAAACCACAUAGCCAGAACCUUUUGAACUCCUAACCCCGCAGGGAUGUCCGCCUCCCAGAAGAGAGCCGGCUUCCCAGGCAGCUUAGGAAACUUAACCGAGAUCCCAGAAAGAAGGCGAGGUGUAGCUCCGGUCGAACGGAGCCCCGAGGCGACAUCCUCUUUACCUGCAAAGUUGCAAUCUUCGGGCUGAAGUGAUGGGAUCCGAGGACUGACGGCGCGGGUGCCGUGCGGGGUGAGAGCACGCCCGGCAAAUUCCAAUGGAAUUCCCUUAGUCGCUGCUGAGUUUUGGAGCAUUCCAAGGAAAACGAUCGAAGCUGGAGCCCACGCAGCUGGCACCGAACUGGGCGGAGUGAGGAUGCUCUGAAAGCGAAGCCAUGGGAGGCGGGGGAGGGGCGGCCCGGGAGGGGGAGGUAACCGCCAGGGGAGGAGAACCUCUCCCACCCCCGCCUGCACAGAUCCCUCUGGAUAAAGUUAAGAGUUCCCACGGCUGACAGCGGAUGAGCCCAGAGAAAGGCACCCCGCCCUCCGUCCCUGGUGGCUGCCGGGCUCGGGGUCCGCACAGACCGCGCUGGAAAGGGAUAGUCCGGGAAGAUGCGCGUCCCACGCACCACACUGCUUGGAGGUGGAGGAGACCCGCGCGCUGGCAGGAGCUGACGCUGCGUCCCCAGCUUGUCCCCCUCGAAUAGCCUCCACCUACCGGGGCCAACUGCUUGAGGUCAGCCAGUGGGCAGGGGAGCUCACCACCAGCCAGCCGUCAUCCAGCCAAGUCGGUGGCGAGAAUCCACCCUGUGGUUCUGGAUGCAAGCCAGACACACCUCCAGGCUUAGGGCGGUCUCUGCAGGCGUGUUGGACUUCAGUGCGCUCCGACACCCAGCUUUUGAAUGCCCUGCUCCCAGCCCGGUAAACAAGCACCCAUGAGGCCCGCCGCCCGACCGGAAAAAAGUAGUCCCCUGCAACUCUCAAAGCUUCUCCCACUCCCGCUUCUCUGGGCGACUGGCACCCCCUCUCCUGUCCUCAAGGUGUCAGACUUCCCUUGCAAGAGCUGGAGGAUGCGGCUUGCCACUAGUGUCAACAAUCAAAACAGUCGCAAUGAAUAAAUGAUGAGCCACAGCGUUCCAACCACCCUCAUCCAGCUUGGUCUUUCCAAAAGGCAUAGGAAAUCAGCAAGUUUCCACCAAAUAUACCAAAACCCUAAGACGCGAGCCAGCCCAAGGGUGCAAGGUUCUGCGGCUGCAGGUGCCUAUGAAACUGCAAUAAAUACAUAACAGAAGAGAACACCAAGGAGAGCACUAUAUAUGUCAACCAUCUGAGCAGGCUGUAUUCCCACGGAAAGAAGAAUUUGUAUUGAUCACUGAGCCUCCUUUUCAACAGUUUCAUGUGAUUAUUGAUUGCUG